AUUGAACGCUGGCGGUAUGCUUAACACAUGCAAGUCGAACGGUAGCAGAAGAGAGCUUGCUCUCUUGCUGACGAGUGGCGGACGGGUGAGUAAUGCUUGGGAAUCUGCCUAGUAGUGGGGGACAACACGAGGAAACUCGUGCUAAUACCGCAUACGUCCUACGGGAGAAAGUGGGGGAUCUUCGGACCUCACGCUAUUAGAUGAGCCCAAGUCGGAUUAGCUUGUUGGUGAGGUAACGGCUCACCAAGGCGACGAUCCGUAGCUGGUUUGAGAGGAUGACCAGCCACACUGGGACUGAGACACGGCCCAGACUCCUACGGGAGGCAGCAGUGGGGAAUAUUGGACAAUGGGCGAAAGCCUGAUCCAGCAAUACCGCGUGUGUGAAGAAGGCCUGCGGGUUGUAAAGCACUUUCAAUUGUGAAGAAAAGCUUAGGGCUAAUACCUCUGAGUCUUGACGUUAACUUUAGAAGAAGCACCGGCUAACUCCGU
rnacentral:rRNA from 1 species